GGUGGUGACAUUGGGGUCACACUGUUGGGGUCCUGGUUUUAGGGUCAUGGUUUUUUGGGGUCAUGAUGUGGGGUGGUGGCAUUGGGGUCAUGGUUUUGGGGUCCUGGAUUUAGUCAUGUUUUUAGGGAUGUGGCUUUGGGGUCACAUCUUUGGGGUCACGUCUUUGGGGUCAUGUCUUUGGGGUCCUGCUUUGGGGUCAUGUUUUUAGGGAUGUGUUUUUGGGGUCGUGUUUUUGGGGUCAUGUUUUUGGGAUCGUGUUUUUGGGGUCGUGUUUUUGGGGUCCUGGCUUUAGGCUCAUGUUUUUGGGGUCCUGCUUUUGAGGUCCUGGUUUUGGACUCACGUUGCUGGGCUCCUGUCUUUAUGCUGAUAUUUUUGGGGUCGCGUCUUCGGGGUCCCGUUUUUGGGGGUGGCGCCAUCGGGGUGCCCCCAUCCCUGAGCUCCGUGUCGCCCUGUAGGUGGGUGCGUGAGUUCCUCAAUGAUGACAACAGGGGGCUGGACGUGCUGGUGGACUACCUGUCCUUCGCCCAGUGUGCCGUCAUGUUUGAUUUCGAGGGCCCCGAUGGCGGUGAGGACGGCGCCCUGGAGAAGCUGCGAUCCUGGAGUCGCUCCAUUGAGGAUCUGCACCCCCCCGGCGCCCCCCCAGCCCCGUUUGGCAGCAGCUGGACGCGCUCUGCCCGACACGGCGCCCUGCGAGGCGGGACGCUGCCGAGCCGCCGGGCGCUGAAGAACGCGCGCAUGGUGAGCAGCAGGGACGACGUGCACCUGUGUGUGAUGUGCCUGCGGGCCGUCAUGAACUACCAGGUGGGGACACAGGGGUGGCACCGCGCCACCGCCACCGUGCCACCGUGCCACCGUCAGUGGGGGCGGUGCUGUGACACCGUGGGGGGUGGGGGGUGACGCCCCCAUGUGCUGGGCGGGGUGGCACUGCGUCACUGCUGCCGGAGAGGUGGGGGGACAUGGUGGUGGCACUGCCACCGUGCCACCCGUGGGGACCUGUCACCAUAGGCGUCACGGUGGCACUGUCACUGUGCCACGUGUGGGGACAUCGUGGUGGCACUGUCACCAUGCUGGGUGCAGGGAUGUCACUGUGCCAUUGUCACUGUGUUGGGGAAGGGGGCAUCGUGGUGGCACUGUCACCGUGCCACCCGUGGGGACCUGUCACCAUAGCGGGUGCGGGGAUGUCACUGUGUCACCUCAUGCUGGGUGCAGGGAUGUCACUGUGCCAUUGUCACUGUGCCACCUAUGGGGACAUCGUGGUGGCACUGUCAUCAUAGCAGGUGCAGGGAUGUCACUGUGUCACCUCCAUGCUGGGUAUGGGGACAUCACGGUGGCACUGCCACCAUACUGGGUGCAGGGAUGUGACUGUGCCAUUGUCACUGUUCCAUGCUGGGUAUGGGGACAUCAUGGUGGCACUGUCACUGUGCCACCUAUGGGGACAUUGUGGUGGCACUGUCAUCAUAGCAGGUGCGGGGAUGUCACUGUGUCACCUCCACGCUGGGUGCGGGGAUGUCACUGUGCCAUUGUCACUGUGCCACCUAUGGGGACAUCGUGGUGGCACUGUCAUCAUAGCAGGUGCAGGGAUGUCACUGUGUCACCUCCAUGCUGGGUAUGGGGACAUCACGGUGGCACUGCCACCAUACUGGGUGCAGGGAUGUGA
ensembl:lncRNA